GUUUAGUGGUCAGAACAUUGGUACGUAAAGCCAAAGGUCUCGGGUUCGAUUCCCGG
rnacentral:tRNA from 1 species